rnacentral:snRNA from 1 species
AUACUGGCAAGAAAGUUACUACGGUCACAAAGAUGGUUUUCCCAGAGCAAGGCUUGCACUCCAGAUGGGGUGACCCCCGCAAUUUCCCCAAAUGAGCAAAGUGGACUGCACAAUUUAUGGUAGUGGAGUACUACAUUCACACUGUGCCCUG